rnacentral:rRNA from 1 species
GUCGGGAAUAUUGCGCAAUGGAGGAAACUCUGACGCAGUGACGCCGCGUAUAGGAAGAAGGUUUUCGGAUUGUAAACUAUUGUCGUGAGGGAAGAAAUUGACAGUACCUCAGGAGGAAGCUCCGGCUAACUAUGUGCCAGCAGCCGCGGUAAUACAUAGGGAGCAAGCGUUAUCCGGAUUUAUUGGGUGUAAAGGGUGCGUAGACGGGAAAUUAAGUUAGUUGUGAAAUCCCUUGGCUUAACUGAGGAACUGCAACUAAAACUGGUUUUCUUGAGUACUGGAGAGGAAAGUGGAAUUCCUAGUGUAGCGGUGAAAUGCGUAGAUAUUAGGAGGAACACCAGUGGCGAAGGCGACUUUCUGGACAGUUACUGACGUUGAGGCACGAAAGUGUGGGGAGCAAACAGGAUUAGAAACCCUAGUAGUCC